UGGGGAAUUUUGGACAAUGGGCGCANCCNUGAUCCAGCAAUGCCGCGUGCAGGAAGAAGGCCUUCGGGUUGUAAACUGCUUUUGUCAGGGAAGAAAUCUUCUGGGCUAAUACCCCGGGAGGAUGACGGUACCUGAAGAAUAAGCACCGGCUAACUACGUGCCAGCAGCCGCGGUAAUACGUAGGGUGCGAGCGUUAAUCGGAAUUACUGGGCGUAAAGCGUGCGCAGGCGGCUUUGCAAGACAGAUGUGAAAUCCCCGGGCUCAACCUGGGAGCUGCAUUUGUGACUGCAAGGCUAGAGUACGGCAGAGGGGGAUGGAAUUCCGCGUGUANCAGUGAAAUGCNUANAUAUGCGGAGGAACACCAAUGGCGAAGGCAAUCCCCUGGGCCUGUACUGACGCUCAUGCACGAAAGCGUGGGGAGCAAACAGGAUUAGAUACCCUGGUAGUCCACGCCCUAAACGAUGUCAACUGGUUGUUGGACGGCUUGCUGUUCAGUAACGAAGCUAACGNCGUGAAAGUUGGACCGCCUGGGGAGUACGGCCGCAAGGNUUGA
rnacentral:rRNA from 1 species